GCCUGGGUGGCUCAGUCAGUUGAGCGACUGACUACAGCUCAGGUCAUGAUCUUAUAGUUUGUGAGUUCAAGCCCCGCAUCAGGCU
rnacentral:tRNA from 1 species